rnacentral:rRNA from 1 species
UACGUAGGGAGCAAGCGUUGUCCGGAAUCAUUGGGCGUAAAGCGCGCGUAGGCGGCCCUGUAAGUCCGUUGUGAAAGUCAAAGGCUCAACCUUUGAAAGCCGAUGGAUACUGCAGGGCUAGAGUCCGGAAGAGGCGAGUGGAAUUCCUGGUGUAGCGGUGGAAUGCGCAGAUAUCAGGAGGAACACCAAUAGCGAGGGCAGCUCGCUGGGACGGUACUGACGCUAAGGCGCGAAAGCGUGGGAGCGAACAGG